rnacentral:rRNA from 1 species
UACGUAGGGACCGAGCGUUGUCCGGAAUCAUUGGGCGUAAAGAGCACGCAGGCGGUUUGGCAAGUCGUAUGUGAAAACCCGAAGCUCAACUUCGGGCCUGCAUCCGAAACUGCCCGACUAGAGGUAGGUAGGGGAGAUCGGAAUUCCUGGUGUAGCGGUGAAAUGCGCAGAUAUCAGGAGGAACACCGGUGGCGAAGGCGGAUCUCCGGGCCUUACCUGACGCUCAGGUGCGAAAGCUAGGGGAGCGAACAGG